CCUANGGGUGGCAGCAGUCGAGAAUUUUUCACAAUGGGCGAAAGCCUGAUGGAGCGACGCCGCGUGGGGGAUGAAGGCCUUCGGGUCGUAAACCCCUGUCAUUUGCGAACAAACCUUCCGGCCUAACACGCCGGGAGCUGAUUGUAGCGAAAGAGGAAGGGACGGCUAACUCUGUGCCAGCAGCCGCGGUAAUACAGAGGUCCCAAGCGUUGUUCGGAUUCACUGGGCGUAAAGGGUGCGUAGGCGGUGGGGUAAGUCUGAUGUGAAAGCUCGCAGCUCAACUGCGAAAUGGCAUUGGAAACUACCUCGCUAGAGGAGUGGAAGGGGGACUGGAAUACUUGGUGUAGCAGUGAAAUGCGUAGAUAUCAAGUGGAACACCAGUGGCGAAGGCGAGUCCCUGGACACCUCCUGACGCUGAGGCACGAAAGCUAGGGGAGCAAACAGGAUUAGAUACCCCGNUANUC
rnacentral:rRNA from 1 species